GAUGAACGCUAGCUACAGGCUUAACGCAUGCAAGUCGAGGGGUAACGAGAGGAAAGCUUGCUUUCCUUGUUGACGACCGGCGCACGGGUGAGUAACGCGUAUCCAACCUGCCCCCAACUAGGGAAUAACCUUGCGAAAGUAAGACUAAUACCCUAUAAUUUCCUCAGAUGUCAUCUGAUGAGGAAUAAAGAUUUAUCGGUUGUGGAUGGGGAUGCGUCUGAUUAGCUUGUUGGCGGGGUAACGGCCCACCAAGGCAACGAUCAGUAGGGGUUCUGAGAGGAAGGUCCCCCACAUUGGAACUGAGACACGGUCCAAACUCCUACGGGAGGCAGCAGUGAGGAAUAUUGGUCAAUGGGCGGAAGCCUGAACCAGCCAAGUAGCGUGCAGGAUGACGGCCCUAUGGGUUGUAAACUGCUUUUAUACAGGAAUAAAGUUAGCCACGUGUGGUUAUUUGUAGGUACUGUAUGAAUAAGGACCGGCUAAUUCCGUGCCAGCCGCCGCAGUAA
rnacentral:rRNA from 1 species